GCCCAGGUGGCUCAGUUGGUAGAGCACGUCCUUGGUAAGGACGAGGUCGCGGGUUCGAGUCCCGUCUUGGGCU
rnacentral:tRNA from 1 species